rnacentral:piRNA from 1 species
UGACACAGAUCGUAUUUCUCUACUUUUUGCC